rnacentral:lncRNA from 1 species
GCUGGCCGUCCCGCGGAGCAGCCCGAGAGGCUGCAAUCAGAGCAUUGUGAUUAGUGGUCAGAGCUGCUGUCAAAGGAGCGUGACCAGGUCAUCUUCCCCAGGACUACGGCAGCUCCAGUGAAGACAAAACGUAGGGCUUCUGUGACCUUUGCUAUUUCUAUUGUUAGGCUUUUAGUUUUAAUCCAAAAAUAUGCAGGAUUUACAGUUAUUGUUGUCAGAAACUUCCAGAAGAAUCAACAAAGUGAAGUGGAAAGAAGCACAUCAGGGAGGUCCGGCCUCGGGGUUUGGCCCCUGGUCUUCCAUCUGCUUGGAAUCUGCUUUGGACACGUAUCCGCCCGGCUUGUUGCCUCAAUGAUGCAGGUGACGUACAAGAAGAAGCAGGCUGUCUCCACUAAGCAUCUGGGGCCCAGCUGCUGCCCUUUGCCACCACGGGGAGGCAGCAGACCAACACCCACAUGUGGAACACACUUGGCACCCUACAGUGACCUCGUGGGUGUAAUGGUCAGUGCUUCACUGCCUCUUCCAAAUCGCACGCAAAUUUCUCCUGUGGCUAACUCUAACCCAGAACCAGACGGUGAAGGGAAUUCUGGGAAAUCAGCUCCACCUUAGCUAAACAAAAAGCCGCUGUACCAGGUUUCAUCCUGUCAAUGUAUUUGUAGAUGCCUUUGAUUUUUCUUUAUAACACUAAAUACAGAAUAAUUCGAAUAUACAAGAGAAUAUAAAUACAGAGUCUUUCCAUGGUUUCCUUUAUGAAAUUACUAACUUUCUGUCAUCUUGAGUACCCAGUCAUCUUGGAUCAUUUCUUGCCAUGUGCUUAUUGGGAUGAAUUAAAACUACUGGCCUAUUUGUAUUUCACUUAUAUAUAUGAAAUGUUGAGUCUAUUCCUUAUACUUGCAGCAAAAACAGAUCCUCUGUGGUAUGUAUUUCAUGUAAAUGAGGAUUAGACAAACUUCAGGAUCCAUUUGGCAUUAGUAUCUGUGUAACAAUAGGCUUAUGUAUUUAUGGAGCUAGGUAGGUAUGUCUACAUGCUUGUUCUAACUCUCUCUCUAUAUAUAUGACCAGAUAGUGCUAUAGAGACUUAAGAACAGUCUUGAUGACUAUACAGACAGAUAUCUAAAAACCGAGAGCUGAGAAAUUGGUGUUGUAACUUCUGAGUAAUUAUUUCAACUACUGGACACCUGUCACUAAUCCAAAAGCCAAAGGAAUUGGCAGUUUUGUAUAAGACGUUCCUUCACUUUGGCUUCUUAAGAUGACAGAGGUAGUUGUAGAUAGGAAAUGUAGAAACAGCAAAAAAAAAAAAAAAAAAAAAAGAACUCUCACCACGAAUGAGUGAUAAGAAUUUGUUGAGCUCUCAGACUCUCCGCUUCUGCUUCCCUCAGCACCUCUUAGAUCCUUUAGACUUGUAGCUUGUUUUCCUUUUCUGAGCCAGCGGAGAUUGUAAAUCAACCUUCCAGUCUUCAUCGCCAACCCAGGGGAAAUAGGUGAGACAAGUGGUUUCCAAAUAUUUGAUAAAACAGAGAGGGUGUUUGGGGUAGAAAGAAUUCUGGUUUUCGGUUCAAUCCAUUUACCUACUUAUGUCCUCUUUAGCAUUAUUUAACUUGUUAGAGUUUAUGUUUCCUCUUCUGCAAAAUGGCUGUGAUCUUGUCUGCUUCCUAAGAAGCUCCAGGGUUGACGGAGGGGACUCGGAUGUCCACCUCCCACCUUCCUUCGCCAAUACUUCUUCACUGCCGAGACCCCAUUCGUCUCACGUGACUGAUACCUACUAAGCGGGCUACAACGAGUAGGCUCAUAUGAUUUUUAAAUGCUGGAGAAUUAGGUUUCAGUAGGCAAGUGGAACUUUUAAAAGAAUUUAUUCCUUAGUCUGACAACCACUGUUUAUUUUGCUUAACUGAAGCAACUGAUUUUUCCUUUAUCAGGAUAAAAUCAUGAAAGAUUUUGAAAAAGGCAAGAAAGAUUACUGGUGUCCUGUCUAGCAUACCCUUCUGGGUUAUCUUUGUCUCUUAUUGUCUUUGAGCUAUUUUACAACUCUGUCAGCUGUAGAUAACGGAUGCUAAUGCAAAUAAAU